CACAUGCAAGUCGAGCGGGGAAAAGUAGCUUGCUACUUGACCUAGCGGCGGACGGGUGAGUAAUGUAAUGGAAUCUGCCUAUUAGUGGGGGACAACAUCUCGAAAGGGAUGCUAAUACCGCAUACGUCCUACGGGAGAAAGCAGGGGACCUUCGGGCCUUGCGCUAAUAGAUGAGCCUAAGUCGGAUUAGCUAGUUGGUGGGGUAAAGGCCUACCAAGGCGACGAUCUGUAGCGGGUCUGAGAGGAUGAUCCGCCACACUGGGACUGAGACACGGCCCAGACUCCUACGGGAGGCAGCAGUGGGGAAUAUUGGACAAUGGGGGGAACCCUGAUCCAGCCAUGCCGCGUGUGUGAAGAAGGCCUUUUGGUUGUAAAGCACUUUAAGCGAGGAGGAGGCUACCGAGAUUAAUACUCUUGGAUAGUGGACGUUACUCGCAGAAUAAGCACCGGCUAACUCUGUGCCAGCAGCCGCGGUAAUACAGAGGGUGCAAGCGUUAAUCGGAUUUACUGGGCGUAAAGCGCGCGUAGGUGGCCAAUUAAGUCAAAUGUGAAAUCCCCGAGCUUAACUUGGGAAUUGCAUUCGAUACUGGUUGGCUAGAGUAUGGGAGAGGAUGGUAGAAUUCCAGGUGUAGCGGUGAAAUGCGUAGAGAUCUGGAGGAAUACCGAUGGCGAAGGCAGCCAUCUGGCCUAAUACUGACACUGAGGUGCGAAAGCAUGGGGAGCAAACAGGAUUAGAUACCCUGGUAGUCCAUGCCGUAAACGAUGUCUACUAGCCGUUGGGGCCUUUGAGGCUUUAGUGGCGCAGCUAACGCGAUAAGUAGACCGCCUGGGGAGUACGGUCGCAAGACUAAAACUCAAAUGAAUUGACGGGGGCCCGCACAAGCGGUGGAGCAUGUGGUUUAAUUCGAUGCAACGCGAAGAACCUUACCUGGUCUUGACAUAGUAAGAACUUUCCAGAGAUGGAUUGGUGCCUUUGGGAACUUACAUACAGGUGCUGCAUGGC
rnacentral:rRNA from 1 species